rnacentral:rRNA from 1 species
GACGAAGGGGGCUAGCGUUGUUCGGAAUUACUGGGCGUAAAGCGCGUAUAGGCGGCUGCCAAAGUCGGGUGUGAAAGCCUUGAGCUCAACUCAAGAAUGGCACUCGAUACUUGGUGGCUAGAGGACCGGAGAGGAUAGUGGAAUUCCCAGUGUAGUGGUGAAAUACGUAGAGAUUGGGAAGAACACCAGUGGCGAAGGCGGCUAUCUGGACGGUUUCUGACGCUAAGACGCGAAAGCGUGGGGAGCAAACAGG